UUUCUUAAUAUUGCUGAUUCUUGUUUAAAACAUCACUGGUUCCUGUCAAGAAACCUAAUUUUUUCAAAGACUUUCAUUUCCAUAAGCUAUUGAGAUAUUGGACUCAAAUUGAUUUAAUAAGAUGCAAGAUCACAGGAGAAGGGACCUUUUCAUUUUCUACAUGGGCAUUCCCAAGCAUCCGUAAGAGUUUUUUAAACAAGGUAAAUAAUUUUUUGAAUAAAGAAAAUGAUUAUCUCUUUUUUUGCCAAUAAUGAAACCAAAGUUUUGAAAACUGAUUUUCCAUAAUCCCAUGUAUUAAAUGCCUAGGAUCAGAACUCAGAUUUUUGGACCCCAGAUCCAAUACUAGAAUAAUAUAACUGAGGUAAUAAAACUAAAAAAAUAUUUUUACA
rnacentral:lncRNA from 1 species